rnacentral:tRNA from 1 species
GGGCGAUUAGCUCAGCGGUAGAGCACCUCGUUUACACCGAGGGGGUCGGAGGUUCGAACCCUUCAUCGCCCACCA